AUGUGCGGGACCAGCCAGGGCAUCCUUCACAGCCUGCAGACCAGAGAGGUGCAGAAGGGAGGGACCAACAGAAUCCAAGCUAUGGUGGACACCAGGAGAAGUGAUGGGGAGUCUGGGGACCAUACAGCUCACAGAGCCGAUGCCAGAUGCCUGCGCCCGGAGGACACAGCAUCAGCACCAGGAUCAGCAGCCCUCAGGGCAGGACCGAAGGCUUUGUGGAUGAGGACCCAGGGACACGCAGGAGGAGAGACAAGUAACGAGCUCCCCGUCAGAAGCCAGGAUCCCUGCGAACCCAGGCUGCCCACGUGGCAGACCUCAGGAAACCGCAGUCUGUUCUCGUGACACUGACACAGUAAAAAUAACACAUCUGUCCCUGGGGACCAGAAACACCUGUGUCCUUCAGACCCCAGGACACUGCUCCAGGAGAGGCCACUGGGGAAGGGGUCAAGUGGGCUGCUUUAGACCACACUUUGCUCUUCUAGAAAAAGAGCAGGGGCAGGAGGUGGGGGAGGCAUGUCCAGGGCUCCCUGGGGGCUCCGUCCAGCCUGUGGAGGUCUCAUCUUGUCACUCGCCAACAGCUGCUGGGUACAGGGGCCGUGGUGGCUGCAUCCUUCCCACACGAGGUGGUCACGAGACACACGGAUAGGACGGGUGUGUGGUCUGCUCUCCGAGGACACGGAGGGGCUGGGGGGGGGACAGGGCCCUGCUGGCCACAAGGGUGGGAGGGGACGAUGGUUUAGCCACGAGGCUGCCCCCACCCUGAGAGCCCUCUUCCUCCCCAGCAAGCCUGGAAGGCCCCAGAGGGUACGGUCUCCUGCCCGGUUAAUUUACAGUGUUUGGAAUUCAUUAUGGA
rnacentral:lncRNA from 1 species